GCCCUAGGUCGCGGGGCAGCUGGGGCGGAAGGGCUUGUUCAUUAUUUUGAGAGUUUGUUGUGAACGUCAUAACCCUUCGUCCUUAAAUAUUGCCGAUACUUGACCUACGCAAGAGACAAUGUCAUGUGAUUCAGCCUAAUAUCUCAGAGGAUGCAGCAUUCAAGGUUCUAUCUUGGAAGCAGAGACUGGGCCCUCACCAGAUGCUGAACCUGCUGAGCACCUUGAUCUUCCACUUCACCUUCAUCAGAACUACUGUUUGCUGUGAUUGCACCUGCCAUCUUAUGCAGAAAUGACCUGAAAACAGACUGAAACAACGUGUUCUACAGCCUGAAAAUAUCUACCUUGACUUACAGUUUCAUUAAUGCUGGUGUGAUCAGACUGGACAAAAAUUAGCAUAUGUUAUUAACUAAUCUAAUUCAAGUACCAAUUCUUAAUAGAAACAUCAAACAAUAAAAGCAAUUCAGAAAAUA
rnacentral:lncRNA from 1 species